AGCAUUAUACCGUGAAACUGCGAAUGGCUCAUUAAAUCAGUUAUCGUUUAUUUGAUAGUACCUUACUACUUGGAUAACCGUGGUAAUUCUAGAGCUAAUACAUGCUAAAAACCCCAACUUCGGGAGGGGUGUAUUUAUUAGAUAAAAAACCAACGCCCUUCGGGGCUUCUUGGUGAUUCAUGAUAACUUUACGGAUCGCAUGGCCUUGCGCCGGCGACGGUUCAUUCAAAUUUCUGCCCUAUCAACUUUCGAUGGUAAGGUAUUGGCUUACCAUGGUUUCAACGGGUAACGGGGAAUUAGGGUUCGAUUCCGGAGAGGGAGCCUGAGAAACGGCUACCACAUCCAAGGAAGGCAGCAGGCGCGCAAAUUACCCAAUCCCGACACGGGGAGGUAGUGACAAUAAAUACUGAUACAGGGCUCUUUUGGGUCUUGUAAUUGGAAUGAGUACAAUUUAAACCUCUUAACGAGGAACAAUUGGAGGGCAAGUCUGGUGCCAGCAGCCGCGGUAAUUCCAGCUCCAAUAGCGUAUAUUAAAGUUGUUGCAGUUAAAAAGCUCGUAGUUGAAACUUGGGUCUGGCUGGCAGGUCCGCCUCACCGCGUGUACUUGUCCGGCCGGGCCUUCCUUCUGGAGAACCUCAUGCCCUUCACUGGGCGUGUUGGGGACCAGGACUUUUACUUUGAAAAAAUUAGAGUGUUCAAAGCAGGCCUUUGCUCGAAUACGUUAGCAUGGAAUAAUAGAAUAGGACGUGCGGUCCUAUUUUGUUGGUUUCUAGGACCGCCGUAAUGAUUAAUAGGGACAGUCGGGGGCAUCAGUAUUCAAUUGUCAGAGGUGAAAUUCUUGGAUUUAUUGAAGACUAACUACUGCGAAAGCAUUUGCCAAGGAUGUUUUCAUUAAUCAGUGAACGAAAGUUAGGGGAUCGAAGACGAUCAGAUACCGUCG
rnacentral:rRNA from 1 species